GACGAACGCUGGCGGCGCGCUUAACACAUGCAAGUCGAGCGAAUCGGCGGACGGGUGAGUAACCCGUGAGUAACCUGCCUUAGACAUUGGGAUAGCCUCGGGAAACCGGGAUUAAUACCAAAUGGUCUACGAUGUACUCGCGUCCCAUUAGCUAGUUGGUGAGGUAACGGCACACCAAGGCGACGAUGGGUAGCCGGCCUGAGAGGGUGAACGGCCACAUUGGAACUGAGCAACGGUCCAAACUCUACGGGAGGCAGCAGUGGGGAAUAUUGCACAAGGGAGGGAACUCUGAUGCAGCGACGCCGCGUGAACGAAGAAGUCUUUCGAGUCGUAAAGUUCUUUUAUAUGGGAAGCGGUACCAUAAGAAAAAGCCCCGGCUAACGACGUGCCAGCAGCCGCGGUAAUAC
rnacentral:rRNA from 1 species